CUCUAUAUAAUGCCAGACGAUUUAACUCUGCCUAACGUUACUCUGUAUAUCAUGCCAGAUUUUACUCGUCAAUGGGAGAGUGCUGGGGCUCAAUGAGUUCUCACUUUGGCUCUCGCCAUUUAAUUUGUUUUUUUUCUUCAUUGCUUUCGGGAAUAAAAAAAUUAUGGAAACUAUCGCACAUAAUCACCGCGUGGGAUUUUUUCAGAGAUAUGUCUGAGAAAUGUGUACCUUAAAGACGCAAAAAUGAAAAGGGAUUUUAUCAUAUGAUUAUCUGCAGCAUUUAAUUUACUAUGACUGACUGUUUUGUAUUACGCAGCGCACUGAAGAACUGAACGUCAGUGAAGAGCGAUCCCGGAUGAUGUGGUUAUAUCUAGAGUUAGUGUCCACAAACAUCUUGGCAUUUGGUUAGAAGAAAUACUCUCUUGGGACAGUCAUGUUAAUAAUAUAUGUGCGAAAGCUGACCGUGUUUUGGCACUGAUCAAGAGAACAUUUACAACCAAGAAUGGAACGGAUGUUGAAAUGGCGUUUAAAGCUCUUGUCCAUCCUAUUUUGGAAUGUGGUUGUCCAGUUUGUAAUCCAUAUCUCCAAAAACAUGUUCACUCUUUGGAAUCAAUUCAAAGGAGGGCAACCCGCCUAGUUUGUGGAUCAUCGUUGCCUUAUGCAGAUAGGUUGAAGAAACGUGGAUGGUCUACCUUGCCCUUGGAAGUGCGGAGGAAAUGUUUAUGCUUGGUUAUUCUUUAUAAAAUUAUUUUUGGAUAAACUGACAUUGAUCCAAAUAAAUAUUUAGAUUUAAUGGGUCCUACAAGAACUAAGGCUAAGUACUAGAUAAAACAUGAGCAGCCGAUCUGUAUCUGAUAUACAAACUCGAGCCGAAGGCGAAUGUUUGUAUAUCAGAUACAGAUCGGAUGCGCGAAUGUUUUAUCGUAAAAAAUGUCCCAUCUUAUAUGAGUUCAUUGGUGAAGUGAUUUUAAAAAUAAACAUUGUCUAAGCCGAGAAAAUCAAAGCUGAAGUUUAUGUAAAUCAGGACAAAUCUUUAUCCGAUUUACAAACAUUGAUUAAACAUUCAUUUCUUUUGUAUUUUCCUCGUGAAUUAUUAAUGAUUUUUUUAAUUAUAAUUAUAAAUUGAG